UACGGAGGGUGCUAGCGUUGUUCGGAAUUACUGGGCGUAAAGCGCGUGUAGGCGGGUGGGUAAGUCCGCUGUGAAAGCCCGGAGCUUAACUCCGGAGGGUCGGUGGAUACUGCCCAUCUUGAAGGUGCUAGGGGGAGAUGGAAUUACCGGUGUAGCGGUGAAAUGCGUAGAGAUCGGUAGGAACACCAGUGGCGAAGGCGGUCUCCUGGAGCAUACUUGACGCUGAGGCGCGAAAGCUGGGGGAGCGAACGGG
rnacentral:rRNA from 1 species